UAGUGGCGGACGGGUGAGUAACGCGUGGGUAACCUGCCUUGUACAGGGGGAUAACAGUCAGAAAUGACUGCUAAUACCGCAUAAGCGCACAGGACCGCAUGGUCCGGUGUGAAAAACUCCGGUGGUAUAAGAUGGACCCGCGUUGGAUUAGCUAGUUGGCAGGGUAACGGCCUACCAAGGCGACGAUCCAUAGCCGGCCUGAGAGGGUGAACGGCCACAUUGGGACUGAGACACGGCCCAGACUCCUACGGGAGGCAGCAGUGGGGAAUAUUGCACAAUGGGGGAAACCCUGAUGCAGCGACGCCGCGUGAGUGAAGAAGUAUUUCGGUAUGUAAAGCUCUAUCAGCAGGGAAGAAAAUGACGGUACCUGACUAAGAAGCCCCGGCUAACUACGUGCCAGCAGCCGCGGUAAUACGUAGGGGGCAAGCGUUAUCCGGAUUUACUGGGUGUAAAGGGAGCGUAGACGGUCAAGCAAGUCAGAAGUGAAAGGCUGGGGCUCAACCCCGGGACUGCUUUUGAAACUGUUUGACUAGAGUGCUGGAGAGGUAAGCGGAAUUCCUAGUGUAGCGGUGAAAUGCGUAGAUAUUAGGAGGACACCAGUGGCGAAGGCGGCUUACUGGACAGUAACUGACGUUGAGGCUCGAAAGCGUGGGGAGCAAA
rnacentral:rRNA from 1 species